ensembl:ncRNA lncRNA:CR44262 long non-coding RNA:CR44262
GUCAUCCAAAGCCCCAUUACACAUUUAUGUCGAGUAGCUGGGAUUCAGGCGAAGUUAGGCACUGUGUUUAGGCGCCAAAUGGUUUCAAUGACUUUGGACUACGUGACGAAAUGGGCAUCUCACCUGCAGAUCGUGACGCCCUAGAUCGCAAGAAUUGACGCAAGGAAGCGCGCCUAGACGCUAGUCAUAGUUCCCUAAUCAAUUAACUAACUUCCCCACCUGCCCCUUGACUCCCUCCACUUGGCAUGGCCUACGUGCACUCGGCACGUACGCCGAUCUUAAACUCAAUCUCCAGAACAAGAACCUUGAAAAGGUUCAAGGCAUCUCAGACAUUCAAGGGAAUUCCUGGAGCAUCGCCCUUUUUCAUCACGAGUCUCAAGUGCAUGGGAGUUCCCGAUCGUCAGGAAACUUCAUUACUCCAGCGCCACUUUGUUUUUAUGGCUUGUAUGCUUACAGAGUUGAAAUAUGGUAAUUUGCGAAUAUUUAUAAGCAUUUUUAUUUUAUAUCAUGCUGAAAAAGUGGGCCUAGAGAUAUAUGUACAUACAAUACAUAUG